rnacentral:rRNA from 1 species
ACUCAAAGGAAUUGACGGGGGCCCGCACAGCGAGACAUGUGUUAAUUCGAUGAUACGCGAGACUACCCGGGCUUGAACUGCAGCUGAACGAUUCAGAGAUGAUGAGUCUUCGGACAGCUGUGGAGUGCUGCAUGUGUCGUCAGCUCGUGCCGUGAGUUGUCGGCUAAGUGCCAUAACGAGCGCACCUUUCUCUAGUUGCCAUCAGUUUGCUGGCACUCUGGAGACACUGCCACCGUAAGUGUGAGGAAGGUGGGGAUGACGUCAAAUCAGCACGGCCCUUACGUCCGGGGCUACACACGUGUUACAAUGGGUGGUACAGAGAGUUGGUUGUUUGCAAAAACGAUCUAAUCCUUAAAGCCAUCCUCAGUUCGGAUUGGGGUCUGCAACCCGACCCCAUGAAGCUGGAUUCGCUAGUAAUCGCGCAUCAGCCAUGGCGCGGUGAAUACGUUCCCGGGCCUUGUACACACCGCCCGUCAAGCCAUGAAAGCUGGGGGCGCUUGAAGUCCGUGACCGCAAGGAUCGGCCUAGAGCGAAACCGGUAAUUGGGGCU